GUCAACCUUACAAGAGCUAUUGAGUGUCGAUAGAGGAUCAUUCACUAUCAAUAUCAUGAGAGAAAUAUCCUAUGUGUUCUUGCUUAGACAAAUCUUUGGCCAAGGUUGUUCGGAUUGAGAGAUAAAAGAGUUCUCUAAGAGAAUUUGAUUAGAGCAAGACUCGAGAAGAAAUCGUAUGAGCCUGACAGCAGCAUGUCCAAUAUACGAUCUCUAAGAUUUAGAUGGAUGAGGUACCAUAGGUAUAUGGUAACUAAGGAUGGGUAGGUCUAAAGAAUUAGAUUCUCUUGUAUCGUCUGGGGACUACGA
rnacentral:lncRNA from 1 species